UUGUAUUAAUAUUUUUUUUUAAACAUAUUCAGCUUUUCUCAAUCGGUUCAAGCUCGAUUUUCGCAAUCUUGAUCGGAACACUCAAUCAAUGCCCCUCUGCAACUCUGUGCUGGUUGAAUUCGACGUACAAUCCUUCCGAUUUCUCCCAGUCUAAACGCUGCAAUUGUAUAUUUUCCCCUCUUCAACUUACCUUAGUCGCCCUUUCGCCGGAUUCCGAUCAAAUGGGAGCUAGACGGUUGUAGAUGCGUCGCCGGCGACCUUUUGUUCCCCGCUGCUCGAUCCAAAUAAAAGCCAUUGGAGUGCUUCUUCAGUUGCUGGGGCAUCCUCUAGCCACAGAUUUUUAGUCGUCAAUGCGUUUGCUGCCUUUACAGUUGCUUGGGCAUGCUCUACCUAAAGGCUUUUCAUCGUCCUCUUGUUUUUUGCCAUCGCCGAUAAGGUGCUCGCUAUAAAGCGCCAAAGAGUUUCUUGGGGCUGAUAUUACAUUGUUGGCAGUGCUGGAAAGGGUGGUCUAGCUGAAGUUCUUGUAGGGAACGAGGGGUAUGUGGCUUUCGGCUUUUUUCUCCAUGACAGAGAUUGUGUUUUUUACUUGGAAGCUUUCCUGGAUUUCUGAAACAAGCUGUUGCACUUCCUUUAAAGUGGAGUUAUUGAUGUCUACUGCUUGGCAUAUGAUGUUCACUGAAGCGUGAAAGCAUUUUUAUUUUAUUUUAUUUUUACGUACCUAGCACAUAA